GAUCAACGCUGGCGGCGUGCCUAAUACAUGCAAGUCGAACGAAGGGUUUUGUAGUAAUACAGGGCUCUUAGUGGCGAAUGGGUGAGUAACGCGUUGGUGACCUACCCCGAAGAGGGGGAUAACAGCUCGAAAGGGCUGCUAAUACCCCAUGUGGUCACGAGGGUUAGAGGCCUUGUGACUAAAGAUGCAAAUCGCUUUGGGUGGGGCCUGCGUCCCAUCAGCUUGUUGGUAGGGUAAUGGCCUACCAAGGCUACGACGGGUAGGGGGCCUGAGAGGGUGGCCCCCCACACUGGCACUGAAACACGGGCCAGACACCUACGGGUGGCAG
rnacentral:rRNA from 1 species